rnacentral:rRNA from 1 species
UACGUAGGGAGCGAGCGUUGUCCGGAAUUAUUGGGCGUAAAGAGCUCGUAGGCGGUCUGUCGCGUCGGAUGUGAAAAUCCAGGGCUCAACCCUGGACCUGCAUUCGAUACGGGCAGACUAGAGUUCGGCAGGGGAGACUGGAAUUCCUGGUGUAGCGGUGAAAUGCGCAGAUAUCAGGAGGAACACCGGUGGCGAAGGCGGGUCUCUGGGCCGAUACUGACGCUGAGGAGCGAAAGCGUGGGGAGCGAACAGG